rnacentral:rRNA from 1 species
UACAGAGGGGGCAAGCGUUGUUCGGAAUUACUGGGCGUAAAGGGCUCGUAGGUGGCCAACUAAGUCAUACGUGAAAUCCCUCGGCUUAACCGGGGAACUGCGUCUGAUACUGGAUGGCUUGAGUUUGGGAGAGGGAUGCGGAAUUCCAGGUGUAGCGGUGAAAUGCGUAGAUAUCAGGAAGAACACCCGUGGCGAAGGCGGCUCUCUGGGACGGUACUGACGCUGAGACGCGAAAGCGUGGGGAGCGAACAGG